CUCAGUGGCCCUCAGCUCCCCACAUUUCCUGACAAUGAGGGGGGAGCUUGUUAACAGCCUGAGUCCAACUCCUGACUUCCUCCAUGUCCUGUUUACUAUGUUUUGCAAGCAUCUCUCUGGCCACUCCUCAGAGGCCAGCAGCACUGAUUUAUACCAGCAUGGGCUGUAUUCCUAUUCCAGUCUAGCAGUUUGCCUAGAAUCAAACAGCCCAAAGGAUGAAGGACUUCCUCAUAAUGGACUGGAACCUUGAAAGGUGUUCCAGUCUUUGGAUUAAGCAAAAUCAAAGACCAUGGUGGGAUGAGUGCAUUACAUCAUGUAUGUUGGUGAAGGGAAAGAGCAGUACUUUGGUGCAUCUGUGAUUAUAAUACUUCAAAGUGUCCAAUUCCUAGUCUGUUUUCAAACUUAAUUUGAUAAGGAGCUCCUUCCAUUUCCUGUGUCCAUGAUGAGAGAACCAAAGCUCAGUCAAUGAUCGUGGUGGGAUACCUGAUGUAAUGUCCACUAAAACUCAGGAACUCCGUUUAGAAGGAUUCUCUGUGGAGUCCUCCAGAACCACCGUUGCUAGAGAAGAACUUUCCAGGCUCCAUUCACAGGAUGAGCAACUUGUUAAACCAGACUCCAACCCAGACUGGCUUUUUGUGGUGCACUAUGGAUCCUGUCAGGAACUGACCUUUUAACUGAUCUUUUUUAUGAUUGUAGCCAGAGCUCUGGAUUGAAUGGGAAAGACAGACAAAGGUGACUUAGCCACCAGCAUAUUAGCCAGGCCUGUUUCUCAUACCUCAAUUGUUUGGUUUGGCAAAACCAUGACCCUUUCCUUGUGUCCAGGUACCAAAACCAGAUAUUUUUCUCCCAGGGGCCCAUGUAGCCACUCUGUUUUUCUCUAAUCAUAGUACAUCUACAUUUCCUCGGGCACUCAAACUGAACAUGUGUUAUUGGUCUGGGCUGCAUCAUCCUCCCACCCUGCCGCCUCUCCCAAUAAGCAUCCUGUUUCAUCCUUGGCUCUGCUGCUGCUCCAGCCUGAGAAGCUCCCGGCAGGCAUUGGGCCAGUCUCUGGACUGGUGACAGGGUUAACUUCAAAAGAAGACAAAGAAUGAAAUGCCAGGAAUGAAUUCUCCAGCCCAAGACACAUCCUUCCUUGCAGGUAGCGGGGAGACAGAAGAGACUAUGGCCUCCUGCCCUGGAGGACCAGUUUCCCCUCCACUGCCUUGCUCUGACCUACUUUGUGUGAAGCUGAAGUCACAGAGCCAUAGCAAUGAAUACUAGAAAGAAAAAAAAAGGACACACACACAUACACAAAGACAGCAUUUGGCAUUUCAUCACCAAAUAACACUUGUUCAAUCCACAAAUAUGUACAGACUUGUGUGGUCAUGCCAACACCACUCAACUCAAACUAGAUAGACACAGCCCCUGACAUAUAAGAUUCUUCAGUCAAUCAGACAACCACGGAUUCAGUCAUUCUCUCACUUGUUCACUCGGCAAAGAGAUAUGUCGCAAUAUAUAUCAGUCUUCAUUUAUUUAUUAUAUAUUUUAUGCCAGACACUAAACAAGCAGCAGAGUAAUUCUGAGGAAUGAUACGUUGGAGACUACAGUUUGGUGGGGAUAAUAGAGGCAUUAAAAAUAGUAUAGCCUGAUGUGAAGAUACGUAUGGAUACAUAGAUGUAGAUAUACACACAUAUACUAUUCAUAUAUAACCAUAUGUAUGUAUAUAUUUAUCUUUCAUACACAUACAAUAGAGAUGUGUGUGAGGAGUAUAAAAUUGCCUGGGAUGGAUGAGGAGAACAUCAUAAUUGUAUUCACAGAGAGAUAAUAGUAGAGCUAAGUUGCAGGCUGGGGAUGGGGAGAGCAUAGGAGCGGCAAUAGCCUGUCAAAGGAGGCAGAGAGAAGAGAGGCUUGAGGCUGCUCAGAGAGCCACAGAGAGUGCAGAAUAAGUGGAGCAGGAAAUGACAUGAUUCUUUGGGCAGGGCCCACAUCCCAGGAGAUCCCAGAUCCCGGAAUGUCAUGCCAAAGAGGAUGGGCUUUAUUCUGAGGAUACCAGAGAUCCAUUAAUUAACUGAAUACGAUGACUAAGAGAAUGAUGCUUUCAAUAAGGAAAACCUCUGGUGCUCAAGUGGAAAAUGAAUUGAAGGGAGGUGCAACAAGCAGCAAGAAGGCUCUGGAACAGCCUAGACGAGUGCUUCCAUUUGUUGACACUGAUCAGUGUCAGAAACUGAACUUAUCACUUUACACCGUCUAAUCAGCAUCUGUCAACAAAUAUUAAUGAGAAGCAACUAGUUUCCAGGCACUGUGGAACAACCAGACUGACAGUCUUCCCAACAGAGUGCUUCCUGAGAGCUCGCCAUACGUCCAAAGGGCACAUUAUGGAUAACAUGACAGGUGUGAAUUUGAUUUCUGGAGACAGCCUACAUCCCAGUUAGAGCCUGGCAUGAAGAAUACUAAAAGCAAUAAUGCAGGACAAUAUUGGCCAACAGAACAAUAAUUGCAAUCAAAAGUUUGCUGAAG